rnacentral:lncRNA from 10 species
UCUUCAAGAUUAUCUUGGUUAUUCUUGGUUAUUUUCAUUUCCAUAUAAAUUUUAGAAUCGCCAAUAUUUACCAGCUGUGUGAUCCACGCCUUGUGUACUACAGCACUUGAACGUGGAACAGUCUUCAUAUAUUUGUUUAAAUAUGAAUAUAUUAAAGCUGGGCAUGGUAGUUUAUGCCUGUAAUCCUGGCACUUUGGAAUGCCCAGGUGGAAGGAUUGAGCCUAGGAGUUUGAGACCAGCCUGGUCAACAAAGUGAGACCCCUGUCUC